rnacentral:rRNA from 1 species
CCUACGGGAGGCAGCAGUGAGGAAUAUUGGUCAAUGGACGAGAGUCUGAACCAGCCACGUAGCGUGAAGGAUGACUGCCCUAUGGGUUGUAAACUUCUUUUAUAUGGGAAUAAAACGUUCCACGUGUGGGAUUUUGUCUGUACCAUAUGAAUAAAGAUCGGCUAACUCCGUGCCAGCAGCCGCGGUAAUACGGAGGGUCCGAGCGUUGUCCGGAUUUAUUGGGUUUAAAGGGAGCGUAGGGGGAUUGUUAAGUCAGUUGUGAAAGUUUGCGGCUCAACCGUAAAAUUGCAGUUGAAACUGGCAGUCUUGAGUACAGUAGAGGUGGGCGGAAUUCGUGGUGUAGCGGUGAAAUGCUUAGAUAUCACGAAGAACUCCGAUUGCGAAGGCAGUUCACUGGACUGCAACUGACACUGAGGCUCGAAAGUGUGGGUAUCAAACAGGAUUAGAUACCCCUGUAGUC